rnacentral:lncRNA from 1 species
UAAUCUUAAAAAUGCAAAGGCAAAACUUAGUCAUCAAACAAGGAGAAGAGUACAACAACAUAUCCAGUGUGAUUCCACAAGUAAGGUAUAGAGCUUGUAUUCGAUGACCCUCGGCUCAACAAAUAAGGAGGGGAGUGGUGUGAGGAAUUUAGUAGUACCAUGGAACAGCUUGAACUAAGAUGGUAUUGAACUAUUAAUCAUGGUUGAUUGUGUAGAUGCAAAAAGAGGACCUCCUUGUAUUUGAUGAAUCCAACCAAUUACCCCUUUGAUGAAAUCUCCUCCUUCUAUCAUGCUCAAUACCACGAAGCAUACCAGCCAUUUUUACACAAACUCAAGAACAGAAAAAAAAAACCACAAAGGAAAUCAGAAAGUCUUUGUAGCUACUGUUACAAAACAUCAGAAAGUUC